AACGAACGCUGGCGGCAGGCUUAACACAUGCAAGUCGAGCGCCCCGCAAGGGGAGCGGCAGACGGGUGAGUAACGCGUGGGAACGUACCUUUUGGUUCGGAACAACUCCGGGAAACUGGAGCUAAUACCGGAUAAGCCCUAACGGGGAAAGAUUUAUCGCCGAAAGAUCGGCCCGCGUCUGAUUAGCUAGUUGGUGAGGUAACGGCUCACCAAGGCGACGAUCAGUAGCUGGUCUGAGAGGAUGAUCAGCCACACUGGGACUGAGACACGGCCCAGACUCCUACGGGAGGCAGCAGUGGGGAAUAUUGGACAAUGGGCGCAAGCCUGAUCCAGCCAUGCCGCGUGAGUGAUGAAGGCCUUAGGGUUGUAAGGCUCUUUUGUCCGGGAAGAUAAUGACUGUACCGGAAGAAUAAGCCCCGGCUAACUUCGUG
rnacentral:rRNA from 1 species